UGGGGAAUCUUGGACAAUGGGGGCAACCCUGAUCCAGCGACGCCGCGUGGGUGGUAAGGCCUUCGGGUUGUAAAGCCCUUUCACCGGGGACGAUGAUGACGGUACCCGGAGAAGAAGCGCCGGCUAACUCCGUGCCAGCAGCCGCGGUAAGACGGAGGGCGCUAGCGUUGUUCGGAAUCACUGGGCGUAAAGGGCGCGUAGGCGGCGAUCUAAGUCGAGGGUGAAAGCCCGGGGCUCAACCUCGGAACGGCCUUCGAGACUGGGUUGCUGGAGACCGGAAGAGGAGGGUGGAAUACCCAGUGUAGAGGUGAAAUUCGUAGAUAUUGGGUGGAACACCGGUGGCGAAAGCGGCUCUCUGGUCCGGAUCUGACGCUGAGGCGCGAAAGCGUGGGGAGCAAACAGGAUUAGAUACCCCCGUAGUCC
rnacentral:rRNA from 1 species